rnacentral:misc_RNA from 1 species
AAAAAUGUUUAUUCAAGAGGAUUUGAUUUUUAUGAAAAAAUGUUGUUGUCCUUAAGAGUUGUAUCAUUUUAUUGGUCCCAUUUUUCACAUAUCUAACUUUGCUCAAUCAUCAAACAGUGAUCUCUUUUGAAUUUCUAUGCAAAGAUAAUUUUUAUAACCAGUGUGAGAAACUGGAACCUCUGAUUGCUCAAGAAGGAGAUGAAUUACUAUUAUCUGACAGUGUGCUAUUUAUUCUGGUAUCAUACAUGAUGUUGACAGUAUAAUAUCCAGUCUGUUGUGAUAGAUUUCAACAUUUAUAAAAACAGGGUAAGAUAUUGAACCUUGUCAAUUUAAUUACGAUAUUUUUUAUAUGCAAGUUGAUAUGUGUUACCAAAAUUUACUUACACUAAUGGGGCAUGAUGAAAAGUUGUUAAGAAUGGUUGUUGUUAUAUAAUUGUAGCUUUUAUACAUUAUAAAAAUAAACUUUUACCCAUUUUC